rnacentral:rRNA from 1 species
UACGUAGGGUGCAAGCGUUACUCGGAAUUACUGGGCGUAAAGCGUGCGCAGGCGGUUAUGCAAGGCAGAUGUGAAAUCCCCGGGCUCAACCUGGGAACUGCAUUUGUGACUGCAUAGCUGGAGUGCGGCAGAGGGGGAUGGAAUUCCGCGUGUAGCAGUGAAAUGCGUAGAUAUGCGGAGGAACACCGAUGGCGAAGACAAUCCCCUGGGCCUGCACUGACGCUCAUGCACGAAAGCGUGGGGAGCAAACAGG